UUUGCAGAGGAAGAAUGUUUCUCAAAUGGUGACUUCUUGGAAUUAAAUGAUUUUGCAGAAGAGUCACUUUCUUCUAGUUCAGAGAAUUCAAGUUGUCCAAGCCGGGCAUCCGAUGAAUAUUUUGAUUCAUUGGCAUUGUUGCGAGACCUGAAUGAUCAGGGGAAGGAUUUAAGCAAGUAUAGUUUUUCUGCAUCUGUUAGACCAGAUAAGGUGGUUAUGAAGCCAGCCACUUUAGGUAUGAGAUUUCCAAUCAUGCUUCUUCUGUGGACCCUAUUCACAUCAUAUUCUCUAUUCUAGAUACUGCAUAUAUUGUGAAAUCUGGGAAAUUCGUCUAUUCUUGUUACACACUAAUUCGUUAGUCACUGAUAUGAAGUUCAAUUAUUUUUCCGACUUAGGUUUUAAAAUGCAUCUCAUACACAUUUUCAACUUUCCACCAUUGUCAGUAGUUUUCAAAUGGUGUCUAGACUUGAUGCUUGCAUUGAACCACUUCACCUAAAAGCUUAAGCUGUUAAAGAGGCGAGAAAAUGGAUAGUACUAGAAACUAUUCAUGAACAAAUGAAGCUUCUUUAGAAGGGAAAGUGUGAAAUUACAAUAACUUAAACCGGAAAAAUAAAUCUUGAAAAAUUUGAAUUUUAGCAUGAAGCAACAUCAAUAAACAACUAUAAUAUCAGGAAACUUGGGAAAAGCACAUCACUUUUGUGCAUUACUCUUGGCAUAGUUUCAGUUAGUGAAUGUCAUUGACUUGAUUGAGUAAAUUGAUUUUGGAUAAUUAAUCCUAAAAGUUCUGAGGAAUCACAUAUGCUAAAAUAAGAAAAAAAUUCCAUAAACGAACUGUUGUAGACACAUUUGUCCAUUAGGUAUAUCUGUAUUCCUAACAUUUUGUACGAUGAAAGUUCGACUAGGAUUCUGCUUAGUCAUCAUCUCGCCUCGAACAAGAUGGACGCAGGCUGUAAUCUGUAAUUCUAAUUUUACUGUCCCAUUGAAAGACUAUCAAAACAUUGCUGCAUGUUCUUUGUUUUCAUAUGCAAUUGCCCAGGGCGGGCUUUUCUAGCUGGUAUUUUGUACCCUAUGAGGCAAACUUUAGUUCAUUUCUUAGGCGGCAGACUACCUAUUUGCAGCACUGUUGAUGUUUCCCUUUUUGAAAUGUUAUCCUAGGAUCUAUAGAGGGUGGGACUGGAAGUAAGCAUGCAGUAGAAGGAUUCCUAGCCGGGUCAGCACCCGACCCUAAUAAAAGUCAGAAGUCGGAGCACAGAAUUGAAGGCACAGCAAAUUUUUAUGAUGAAGCAAAGCCAUCUGCAACUGGAGAAAGAAAGGCCGUUGUAGGCAGAAUGCAAAGGCUCAAGGAGAUUUUCUGUUGUUUCUAAGCGAUACAUCCUCUUCUAUGGGAAGUGCUACAUGUACAUAAUUAGUUACAUAAUAGUGUCCAUAAUUACAUGUGGUACUUGAUCUAACCUUUAAUUCAAAUCUCACACUUGCACAUCAACAACCGGAUGAUUGCCACAUCACAUUAUGGAUACCAUUAUGUGCAAUAAUUAUGUAUAAGUAGAAUUUUUCCUCUUCUAUCACCUAGUACAAAUGUUACAGAAUAACCGUCAUAUUGUCGGAAUUGCUACGUAUGAUUGGAGUUCGACAGAUAAUGUAAUAGGAGAAGAUAAGAUUCUCACCCUUUGGAACAUGUAUGGUUAAGCUUAAAAGCUAUAAAAAAGUUUGUUUUUGUUUUUGUUUUUUCUGUUUUUUUGUUUUUUUGGUUGAAAUGUGGUUUAAAGUAUGCUUUUUGUUUAGUUAAUAAGUUAACCUUAUUUUUUUAAUUUUCGAACAAAGUGCUCCACUUUUUUGGAAGAGAAUGGUGAUCGCAUUUCUAGUCCCUGUUUUCCUUUAAAAAUUUAAAUUGUUUGUUACAGAAUCAUUGUUUACAACAUAUUUACACAAUAAAAUAUUAUACAUAUAAACCAAUAAAGUUUCCUAACUUUUUAAACAUUUUUCAAAUAUGUUAAGAGCGCCACAGUAAGGCCUCUACAUUUUGGCUUGUGAUCAUUUCACGACAAAGAAAAUGGUCGAUCAUAUGUCUGUGGAAAUUCGCACCAACUGCCUAACAUCUAAGAUUCAACAUGAUGCCAUCAUCGUCGAAGGAAAAUCUGAUAGUAUGUAGUAGAGCUAGCAUACGAUUCAAAAGGCUUUAUCUCCCAAUGAGAUGUCAUUGAAAACCCUAUAAGGGAAUUGAGGUCCUUACAAGGUCUCUAUCCAUUAAGUUAGAGGGUUAUUUGUAUUUUAUUUCAUUUGAAGAACCAUAGAGGGAGGAUAAGUCAUGUUUAGGUCUUUCUCCAUUAACUCAUUGAUGAUUGUUGGUGUUCUUUUAUACUUGAAGACCCCAUUGCGUGUGUUGAGCUCUUGUGUAGGCCUCUCUAUAUUAAAUUACACGGGGUAUUUAUAUAAAGCAUCGAUUAGGGAAGAUAAGCUAAGAAUCCAUAGCGAACUUAUUUUCUCAUACCUUGCACUAGCCAAUUUACUUAAGAUGGAAGAGUAUCCCAAUAAACCGAAAACAUGCAUUAGAGAUAAGCUAAGAACCUUUCGUGGACUUACUUCUUAAGACUGUAACGAAAAAAUUGUCUCGAUAUUGAAAGAGUAUCUCAAUAAAGAAAAGCUUGCUGGGGAUGCAAACUAAGAAACCUUCAUAGGCUUACUUCUUUAACAUCUACGGAACAAAUUAUAUUAGGAUUGAAGAAGAUUUCCUUAAAAAUAAGCUGCAGAUUGAAAGAGGAUCCAUGAUCGAAAUUCUUGAGCUAGAAAUCUCCUAUAUAUGGUAACCGAUUGAAAGAAUGUCUGGGAUCAGAUUUCUUGCUUUAUUUUAUCCAAAAAGGCUAUCAUUAGACUAGUACAUGAUUUUUACUAGAUUUCUUCUGUGCAUGGCACCUCAGAGUUCACAUGUUAUUUGCUUUAUUUUUUUGGCACAAAGGCAUUGGUAUCAGCAGAAGCAAUUAUUUUACUUCGACAUUCGCACAUCAUAUGUAAAAUAGGUAAAAUUAAAUGGAAAUUCAAAAUUUUAGCAUUAGUAGCCGUAAAGACAUCAAACUCCUUCGAUCUACUUGAAUAUGAAACUUGGACUUAGAAUACUAAUAUUACAUGCUGAAUAAUUGUUGCGUCCGUGAGGGCUCCAUGCUAGCCCUAAGGGGCCCAUUAUUUGUCUACAAGGACUUCAUGUUGCCCCAAAAAAAGCCUCAUUGAAUACUAGCGUUGCCACCAACAAUUGCAUCAAGGUCGUAAAGGCGCACCACCCUAAGCAUAAAUGUCUUGAUCAUUGAUUCAUUGAAGCACCAUCUGAAGCUUCAUCUUGACGGGCAAAAACAAAGGACUAACUGAUAAUUCUCAACAAAGUGUUAGGCUUGGCGUCUAAGACCAAAAAAGGCAACCUCAACUCGUUCUAUGACGUGCCCUACCUCAGGGGCGGACCCACAUGGGAUCAUGUGGGGUCAUUUGACCCCACAAAAUUUUGUACCCCUUUUUUUUUUUAUAUAUAUACUUUGAUGCACUCGUUGGGAUGCCAAAUGAAGUCAAAAUAUUGCAUUCUUAAUAUUAUUUCGAAGCGUUCAUGACCUAGUUUUUCACUCAUUAAUGGCAUGUGAAGUGGUCAACUAUAACAAAAGUUAUGAUAUGUUAAAGUAGGGCGUUUGAAACUAGUAUUUUGAAAAUUUCGAUAAUAUCCUAACUUUAAAAAUUCGUUUGCGAUCAUGUGCUAUCUGAAUCCACAAAUCUUCUAUGCCUUGUAAAAGUUUGUUUCGAAUACUACAUCAUUUUCAUAUCGAAUGUCUAAACGAAUAUCGAAAAUAGUUAAAUAUGUAUCAAACAUAUGCCUCAAAAAAGACGUCUUAACUCGUUUUUUCUUUUAAAAAAUUCAAUUAAUUAUUAUUUUUGCAAGAUAAAUUUUUCAAUAUAAUUUAUAUCGUUUCAUUCGAAAGUCUUACAUGAAAUAUGACAUAAAUCUUUUAGGGUCAUUAUGGAUUAAAUGCAAUUUGAAUUAUUUUUGAAUUAUAUUUGCUUUAAAUUUGAAUUUCAUUUACUUCCUAAACUAAACUUGAAUUUUAUUUCAAUUCAUUUAAUUUCUAUAUUCAAUUUAAUUUACUCAAUGUUAGCUCAGCAUUUGGCAAUAAAAUGAUAAACAAAACUAUAUAAGUAGCAAAAUUUAUUUAAUAAUAUUAAAAAUUAUGUAAUUAUACGACGUUUUCAAAAUGUCAAAAUACAUAUUAACUUAUUUUUAUUGAUGUUAUGUUAUUUAUUAAAAAAAUUAUUUUUAAAAUUUUGACCCUACAAUACUAAAGGUCUGGGUCCGCCACUGCGGCCUACCUUAACAUUUAGAUUAAAAAACCACCUGAAGUCUCCUCCUGAUGUGCAGAAACAAAUGCCUAGGCUUGAUCCGAACAUAGAUGCCACUUUUAACGCAUUCUAACAGAAUCAACUUAGCAUGAACAUCUAUGCAAAACAUGCGCGUACUGAAGUAUUGAAACUUGAACUUAAUAAUGAUUUCCAGCAUAAUGAUGCACUCACAAAAUGAAUAAAGUGCCUAAAAAUCGUCUAUAAAAAGAAGUGUUUUAAAAAACGUAAUGUGUGGCGAUGUUGAAAUUGUUGUUCAAAAUUAAUAAAAAUAAUGUGAAAUGAAAAGUGGAAUUGGAGGCCGAAAUAUUAGUCUAUGCAAUUGCAUAGGCCAGGAUGACUUGCGGUCGCAUGGUGAUUUGCAGGGCGAUUGAAUGACCUAUGUGGCUGCAUAGAUUUGUUCUAUGCGGUCGCAUAGAACAUUUUACUAGCUGUUAAAAAGGUCAUUUUUGUUUGAAUUUUUGUCACCUUUCAUGCAUCACUUCAUGUAGCAUUGAUGCCUAUAAAUAGAUGGUUGAUGAUUAAUACAAAAUAUAUAGAAACACUUGAGAUCAAUCCUCAUUCCAAAAAGUAUUGAAUCUCUUCGUAUUCAAAAUCUCGUGUUCUUGAGUUAUAAAAGAUUUCACUUGUGCUUAAGUGUUAAUUCUUUUCAAGGCUUGAUAAAUCCUGUAAACCAUUUGCCAAAAAUCCCCUUAGGCACCAAAUUUAAUCCAAAACGGGACAAAUAUCAUUUGAGGACAAUAAUUACAUGUUUAAGCCUUCAUUUUCAUUUUCAUCUUCUUGUUGUGGAAAUAAUUUUUCUAACAAUCUCAAACGAUAUUUUUGCAAUGGAAAAUGAAACUACUAUGUCGACGAUCAAGUUGAUGAAUCAAAAUCUUGUCCGUCUAGAUCAAUUUGAUGGGACAAAUUUCACAAUAUGGCAAUAUAAGUUGAGGUUUCUUCUUACGACGUUGAAAAUUUUCUACAUUCUUGAUCCAAAUUUGGCAUAUUACCGGAAUCAAAAAAUGGAGAUACUGAUGUCAUAAGAGUUGAAAGGGAAAAAUGUCAAGAGUAUGAAUUGAUUGCCAUGGUCACAUACUCAAUGCAUUAUGAGACUGGUGGUAUGAUCUCUAUACUAACACAUCUUCGACAAAAGAAAUAUGGGAAGUUUUGGAAAACAAGUACAAAGUCGGAGAAGAAGUACUAAGUAAUUUUUAAUUUCACGGUAUUUCAAUUCUAAAUUCCUUAAUAACAUUCCAUUUCUUUCCCAAAUUCAUUAAUAACAAGUUCUUUUCAAUAAGUUGAAGACAGUCAAAAUAGAAAUACCGGAAUCUUUCCAAGGGGCAGCAAUCAUUGCAAAACUCCCUAGAAGUUGGAAAGAGUAUCCAAAGAAAAUCAUAAAUAGCUCUCAAGAUUACUCUUUGGAUCAUUUGCAGAAACAUCUUCGAAUUAAAGAAGAUUUAAGGGCAAGAGAUAUGAAUGAAAAUUCUUAUGAAGGCACUUCAAAGGCCAAUGCUGUGGAAAAGAUCGAACAUUCUAACAAAUCCAACAAGAGAAAUCCUUCAAAAAACUUUAAUAAGUUUAAGAAGAACUCCAAAUGUGGUUGUUUUGUAUGUGAGAAAUCCGGACAUUAUGCAAAGGAAUGUUUAUACCGAAACAAAAAAAUUCCGAAGGAAAUGUGAACUCCAUCAAAGAAGACAAUAUUGUGGUCACUGCAAGCGAGAUUAAUGUAAUCAAAGGAAAAGUUCUUGGAUGGUGGUAUGAUACAUAUGAAAUUGUACAUGCAACUUAUGACAAGUCUUUGUUCAAAACAUAUUAUGAAGUAGAUAAAGAUCAAGAGAGUCAAAUGGAUAAAGAAGUUGGCUCCAAAGUGGUUGGGAAAGGAAAUAGAGAUCAUCUUUACUUUUAGUAAGACGGUUAUCUUAACUAAUGUACUAUAUAUUUAUGAUAUGAACAAGAAUUUAGUUAGUGGUAAUCUCUUAAAGAAAUCAGGCAUAAAAAGCAUUGACAAGUUCAGUAAAUUUGUACUAUCCUUAAUGUGAAAUUUGUUGGAAAAGACUAAUUUCGUGAAGGAAUGGUCAAAUUUUGUACCAUUGACAGGAUAACUAAUGAUAAAAUUUAGUUUGCUUAUUCGACCGAUUCAUUUAUUUUAUGGUAUGCUAGAUUAUGUUAUAUCGGUAAGAGUACCAUGAAAAGAAUGUUAAAAUGUGACUUAAUAUCAUAUAAUGAAAAUGAUACAUUUAAAUAUAAAACGUGUUGAAUCUAAGAUGACUGAAAAGCCUUAUCAAAGUGUAAAUAGUAUUUCUAGUAUAUUAAAAUUAAUUCAUACAGAUAUAUGUAAAUUAAAUGAUAUGUCAACUAUAGGAGAAAAUACGUAUUUCAUUACCUUUAUAAAUGAUUACUCUAGAUACAUAUAUGUUUAUUUAAUUAAACAUAAAAUGAGGCAUUUGAUAUAUUUAAAAUAUAUAAAAAUGAAGUUUAAAAUCGCCUAAGUAAGAAAAUAAAGAUAAGUGAUAGAGGAUGUGAAUAUUUUUCUAGUGAUUCUAAAUCAUUUUGUUAACAAUAGGCAUAAUUAAUCAAUAUUCUGCACAUAGGACACCUGAACAAAAUGAUUUGGUUGAAAGAAAAAAUAAAACUUUAGUUAAAAUGAUAAAUGCCAUGUUAACUUAUCCUAAGUUGCCAUUUAAUUUAUGGGGUGAAACAUUAUUGAGUGAAUGUAGAAUAUUAAAUAUGAGUCAUUCUAAAUUUAAAAAGGUUUCUCCUUAUAAAUUAUCGAAAUGAAGAAAACCUAAUAUUGGAUACUUCAAAGUGUAGAGGUGUUUUACUUAUUGUAAGAACUUGAAUCGUAAUAGGACCAAGUUAGGUCCAAGAGGUAUUAGAUGUGCCUUUGUUAGUUAUGCUAGUAAUGACAAAUCAUAUAGAUUAAUAAAUUUGGAGACCAAUGUGAUUAUUGAAACUAAUGAUGUAGAGUCCUUUUUUUUUUUUUUGGGGAAUUCACUAUAUUCAAAUAAUGAAUUAAGAGAUACUCUUAAAGAGAUCUCAAGCUCUAGUUGUACACAAAAUAAAACAUCUUUUAAAGACGUUCAUGAAUCUAGGAACCUCGAAGAAGUAAAAAAAAUCGAAUUGAUAAAUCUUUAGAACUGAAUGAAAUUGACUCUCAACUUAUUUUCCUUUUACUUAAUAGAGGGAAAUAAGAAGAAUGUUGUAAGAAAAAUUCCUUUUGUUUUGCAAGUGGAAAUUGAUACUAAAACUUAUAGAAAGGCUAUGGUGUCUCGUAAUAGCAUCUUUUGGAAAGAGGGAAUUAAAGAUGAAAUUGAUUCAAUUAUGUUAAAUAAUACAUGGUUACUUGUCGACUUACCUCUCGGAUGUAAACCUAUUAGAUGUAAAUGGAUGUUUUGGAGAAAUUAUAAUGAUGAUGGUUCUCUUAAUAGCUUUAAGGCUAGACUAGUAGCCAAAAAUUAUCGAUGAAAGGAAGGAAUGUUCUACUUUGAUACUUAUGCAUUGAUAGCUAGAAAAACAUUAAUUAGAAUGUUAUUCGCAUUUAGUUAAGCAUAUUCAGGCCCAUCAUUUGGUCCUUGGUACUCCAAUCAUUUAAAUUUGUGUGCAGCAUUAAGUAUAUGUAUCUUUAUCCACUGCUUUUUUACACUUGACCAAAUAUAUAAAGCAACUUUAUUUGGUAUUCAUACAUUGCUCAAUUGGCUAAUUUUUUUAGUUCAAUUAUUUAAUAAUUGCUCUUUGUUUGCUUUCUUACUCUACUCAAAAACUUGAGUGUGGGAUAUGGAUUUAGAAAUAAUAUAAUUACUUAGAGAACAUGGGUUGUGUAUCGAAUUUAUAUUUGAAUUAAAGUAAAAAUAUCACGUGAGUUGUUUAAGGGAGAAUGACGUCAAGUUCUUCCAAGAUUGAUAUUUGUGGUAGAGGAUCGAAUUCAUUGAAUGAAUAGAUUGUAUCGUCUUGGAAAAUAGAAAUCAAUGACAUGGUCGAUGUUAUGCUAGUUCUAACUUUUUACUGAAGUUGAAGGCUUUAUUAGAAGAAUCAAGAAAAUGAUUUAAUAAAAGAUAAAGGGGCAAAUCUGCAAUUGGGGGAUUUGACAAAAUCAACUAAAAGAUAGGGACAAUGGUCCCUGGAGAGAGUAACAUAACAUGGGACUUGUCUUCAUCAUGUCAUGGAUUGAAUAUGAGUUAAGAUUUGACAAUGUUUAGUGAGAAGGAAGUUAAUGAAGAGAUACAUUUUUUUAUUUAAAUCUUAGUUAAAAUUAUUUUGGAUUACGUAAUAUCAUUGUAUUCUCUACUUACAUUUUUUAUUUACUAUAUAGGAAUCAAUUUUAAGUGCUGACUUAUGCUAGUAAGAGUUGUGGGAAAGAAUGAAGAUUGAAUAUGAGUUAAGGUUGAAACUUUUGAAUUCUUGAGCAUGAAUUAAGUAACUAUAAUGCACAAACAUCAAGAAUGAAUGAAAAGUUUAGUAUUGUUAUAUUUAUAAUAUUGUUUGUUAAAUUUGUAUUUUGCAUUUGGAAUUUGGGACAAUGUUUGUAUUUUCGUUUGGAAUAUUAUGUUUUUGUUUUCAUUAACUCUCUCUUCAUAAAUUAUAUUAUAUCAAUUUGACGGAUUAACUUAUAAAAAAUAAUUUAUUUUUGUGGUUAUUAACCAAACGAAUCGAGUCGAACCUAGAUACGAAUCGAACCGAUUUACGUGGUUAUGGUGCGGUUAUGGUAUGACAAAAAAUUUGACGGUUCAGUGAUGGUUUUGAUCGAACCGAACCAUUGCCAUCCCUAGAAAUAAUAAUGUAUAGUCAAUUAAAUUCCAUUUAAAAGUAAGCCAUGAUAAUGCCAACACUAAACACAAAUUGCAAAAGAAAAGUAUUAAGCAGCAGAUUAUACAAAUUCGUGUGUUUGGUCAACUAAGAACAUAUUGCGUGUAAGUAUGACCUAUGAAUAAUCUAUGAAAAUCGGAUCAUUAACUUAAACUUUUGUGCCAAGAAUUGUCCAACUUGCAUCCAAGAAAAAAAAGACGUCAAUUUUGCAAGUUCAUUGGCUUCUCCCUUCUCAUCGAUUCUUGUUAAUCUUCUAGCACUUGAAAAUUUAAAUCCAAAACCUUCGACUUUUUGUGCCAACGUACCUCUUAAAACACUGAAUGUCAUGCUCAAAAAGAUCCAAUUUCAGACAAAUGGUAUUCGCUUUUUCAAGAAGAAAAAAAUGUAAUUGAAUUUUGUUGUUUUUGAUACAUCAUAUGUAAGAGUUGAUUUAUGAUUUAGAAUUUGAAUAAAUCAAUAAUCGUAUACUUUCGAUUAUCUUGUAUUAAAACCCUAAUCUACAUUCCAUACUACAAAAAAGGCCACACUUCUAUAUGCUCCAUAUUUAAUUUAAUUAAAUGAGAAAUAUGAUGUUAAAUACUAAUUAUUCCAAUGGAAUUGAGACAAGAGUAAGAAUAAAACUGUGAACGUAUUUAAUUUUGUAUCCUUGAUACUGUCAUUAACAAAAAGAUGGAUAAAAAAGUACAACAAUUGAUUUCAUGCUAUUUAACAUCAUUGAUGUUUAAUAUCCUUUUUGGACAUAACACUUGUGGCAUUAAAUUAUAGAUUCAAUUAAGGUCCCGUUUGGUACCCAUUUUUUUUUCAAAAUACAUUUUUUUUCUAUUUUUUCAAUUACACAUUCUUUAUUAAAAUAAUAUUACACGUAAAUAAAAUUUUUUUUCAUAUUUUUCAACCACAUAUUUCCCAUCAAUUUACUACUCAAAAAUACAUUUUUAUAUAAAAUAUUUCCCAAACACCCUCUAAAUACAUGAAAUUACGUCCCCUUUAUUAUGAUCCAUGAUAUGCUGACUCGUGUAAAUAUCAUCGGUGUUAAAUAAUAUUAUUCAUUAGUAUAAUAGGGCAAAAGAACAGUUAAAUCAGGUCAACUUCUUAAUAUUUUUAUGCCAUUUUUUUUUUCUUUAAUAAGGAUUUGGCCAUGGCCAUGCUUCUAUUUCUUGUAAAUGAAAAUUUUUUGCAAGUUGAUUGAAGGGGUGGGAUGGUGUCGGCUAUACCUGAUUUUCGAUAGAAAAUAAUUACAACCUGAUUUGUGAAAUUAAAAUUUAAAAAGUAUGAUUUGAGGUAAUUUUUCCCUCGUCAAUGUCCUUUAAAAACUCCUUUAUUCAAACAAAGAGCUUCUAAUAAAUUAUCCUAACAUUUUAAUCAAAAAUAAAUUUUAACUUUUUAAAAAUGUUAUCUUACGAAUAUUCUAACACCUAAAUAGCAUUAACCAAUCAUUUUAAUUUGAAAAACACUAAUCUCCCUUCCUUUGUUACCCCUGGCAAUUAAACCGCAACCUUUGUUUCUAAUACAAUUAUCAAGGGCAAUACCGUCAGAAAAAAUACUUGUCACUGCCACUGUACAGGCUUAGCGCAUAAGUAAUUAAAAUUUAAAUAACGAUUAAUAAUUAAUUAAUUAGAUGGAGCGAAAACAACCGCCGCCUCUUCAACUUCCCUUCCACUGAAACUUCCUAUAUGUUUUUCUUCUUUUAUCUUACAUUUAUUUUGUUUAUUUCUAUUUAAUUUAAUCAUUAAUUAUUCUUAUAUUUAUGUUAACAUAUGAUUAAUUACGCAUAUAAAUGAAUAUACACGCAACAUAAAUUUUCAUCUUCUUUGUUGUGAAAUUUUGUCGAGAAUCUUAAGGGAUUACAGUUAUUCCUAACUACUGGAGCAUAAAGGUACUUAAGAUUAUAUAAUGUUUGCGAAAAUAAUGUAUUUUUGUUAUUACAGUAUUGUAUUUCAAUUUGAUUUCAUGUUUUUCUUAGACUCAAUACAAAUUUUUGUUUUUUUAAUCAAUUCUUUAUUAUCUUCGGAUAGUUUUCUUCAUUCCAUCUUUUUGAGUAAAUUGAUGAAAAAUAGUUUUCCGUAAUUUUUCUGUUUAAAUAUUUUAUGAGGUUUGAGGAAUAGGAAAAUUUAUUAUUUAUGUGUUUCAAAAAGUUUCUAGGGUUUCGAAAUGUAGUUUGUGAACAAAAGUAGAAAUUUUUGUAUUAUUUUUUUACUGCUCUGUUUAUUUCGGUGGAAAUUUUUUUCUCAGAAUUUUUUUUUUUCUACUGGUUUUUGAGGCUUCUGUAUGGAGAUUAUAGUGAAUCUACAGUGGUUCUCAUAAUUAGGAACAAAAUCUAACAAGCCACAGAACAUUAUUUCGUGCAUUUAUUUAUUCAUUUAAAAUUCCUCUACAGUCUACACUUACAAUGUCCUUGUUUGAGCCCCAUUAUUUGGGGAAGAAUGAAUUUUUGAAUAGUGUAUUGAUGAGAAAUGUGUGAUUAAAAAAUAAGGAAAAUUUUUGAAUUUAUAUAUAAUAUUAUUUUAUUAAAUAAUGUGUAAUUGAAAUGAUAUCAAAAUACUCUUUUUGAAAAAUAAAUUUUUCAAAAGAAUGGAGCUCGAAGGGCAAUAUCUGUGGUUCUAACGGAAAAGGUUCGCAUCGAUUUGUGUUCCUGAAUACGAUGAAAAAGAAUAGAAACGGUAAAAGUGUGAUCUCUUCACAUAACGAUGCUUCAUUAAUGCAAAUUAAUAUAAAUAAUACUUAAAUAAUUACUUCUAGUUUUGGUGUUUAGUGAAUUUACGGUACUGUGAGUUUAUUGAGAUGGACAGUGAUCUCUACUUGCACAUUGUCUCCAUGUCUCUGUUCCCGGAUCUCGAUAAUCAUUGUUCAUUGUUUUCCCAAUUUUUUAUUGUUUCAUGUACAAACAAAUCCUUAAUCAUUAUUUGGAAUUAUUUUCUGCCAAUUAAUUAACAAUUAGCAAAGCUCCAAGAUGAAAAUAAUUACCAUUUGAGUGGCUUUGAAGAAAAGCAAAGGUGGUCUCAAGAAAAGUAUAUAAUUUUCCUGAACUUUUUCUUAAUUUGUUUUUUAGUUUUGCCUCAUUGUAAUUGUAUGUGUAUGUGAGCAUCUAUACAUUAAUCUUUCUGUUUGAACAUAUGCUUGUGAGACAGAAAGGACAGUUGAAGGUAUCAUUUUCAAGGAAUUCCCUUUCAUGAAAAGGAGUUGAGUGGGGAAGAAGGAACAGGCCAGAAGAGCUCUGAAUGUGAGUGUUCCUCGCUGAAAAUGUGCGUGUCCGAGUAACAUGCUGAGAGUUCCAGCCCCAGCCUAACCAACAAUGGUACUCCCGCGACAUGGACAAAAGGCUGGGGACAAAACCUAAAACAGAAAAGAAGAAAAGAAACUAAAUACAUGUAGGAAUAUGAAAAAGCACGAGGGGCACUCUUAUCCCUCACAAUUCCCAUUAGUUAAUUCUAUUCUCCUACUCCAUUACUGGUCCCUCUACUCUUCCCAGUGGUGAGGGUGGAACUAACUUCCACGACCUUUUCUUUUUGUUACAAUAGGCUGUAAUUUCAAUCUGCUUUUCACCAUUAUUCUAGCUGUUAAAUUACAUAUAGCCCUCAUUAGAUUUUGUUCAUUUGAUAACUUCUUUUUGCCAUUGUCUAAUUGUGUGAUUUGCGUGAAUUCGGGGUCAAGUUGUAUUAAUGGGAUCUGGGUUUCUGUAAAGAUGUAUUCUUUUGUUCUUCUUUUUCUUUUUCAUCACGCCUUAUUCUUUUCUUUUCUUUAUUUUCCCCUCUGUAGUAGCUCUCUUUCUCAGUGUGAAUCUAUCAGGCAAAUUUUCAGCAGCAGAAAGAAUCUAGUUGGAGCAAUCAGCGUUAUUGACCAGUAGAUUAUGUGGUUUAGUGAAAGCCUGCCAAAGUGUGUGUGAAUAAUUAUUAUUAAUAUAUAAAGGGGAGCAUCAAUGUGGUCAAAUGUGCGCAGUCUGGAUGGAUGCAUGUGAGUCAGAGCAAGCAUUACAGAAACGAUCAACAGAAGAGACUACAAGACCCCCAUUGGUUCCCGCUGACAACAAAAAUGAAACCACCCGUCGGUCUCGAACCAGAGAUGUUAGUUCUAGGUAUAGGUCUCCUACACCGUCGACAGCUGCCAGUCCAAAAUGUUGUCCUUCGCCAACUGUUAAGGUAUCAUCAAACUCAACUGUACUGGCACCAAAGAGGGCUAUAUCGGCCGAAAGGAAGUUCCCCUCUAGACCGUCAUCCCCACCUAGCCUGUCUCCGUCGACACCAGUCGGGGAUACAACUGCAGAAAUGCUAUUUGCAUCAAGGAAAAUAGUAGGCAACAGAUUACCAGAGUCUUUAUGGCCAUCUACCGUGUGCAAUCGCUGUGUUUCUUUACAAUCUGAUACCUUGACUCGUCCUGUUAAUAAGAUGGAGAAACCAGUGUCUCAUGCUCUUUCGGAUCGCAAUAUGAAGUCAUCAUUAAAUAUAACCUAUAGAAAGGGUGAAACUCCUCCUGCUUCUGGAAAGCCCACGCCAGAAAGGAAGAGGAGUCCACUUAAAGGAAAGAAUUCUGUCAAUCAGUCCGAGAAUUCAAGACCGGUUGAUAGUUUGCCUAGCCGAUUAUUGGAUCAACAUCGAUGGCCAAGUAGAAUCCCAGGAAAAGUAUCCUCCAACAUUUUGAACAGAAGUAUCGAUAUUACUAAAAAAAAUAGCAAAACGCCAACUUCAUCCCAUUUAGGAAUGGGUACACGUACCCUAAGGAGAUUAUCUUUUGAUGGGGCAAGUAGACCUUUGCAAAAAUCUUCUAGUGACUUGUUAACCUUAGUAUCUAGUGAUCGAAAUGAUAGUUCAAGUUCGAAUUGUUUUUCAGCUGAUGAUGGUUCAUUGCUGAUUCAAAAGCCCGGGUCUUCAAGUAUAUUUGAUGGAACACCUUUAGUGAAGCCUGCUGUUAGAUCUCAGUCCUUGCCUCGUGGCUCUCGCCCUGCUUCGCCCUCUGUAACUAGAGAGAUCAGUCUGUCUCGAACAAAGACUGUCAAUUCCUCUUCUUCUAUAGGUAAUAGUCCUGCUCAGGUAAGACCAUCGAGCCCAUCCAGACAACCACAGGCUUCAACUUCUGUUCUCAGUUUUAUUGUGGAUAUUAAGAGAGGGAGGAAGGCUGCAAAUCACAUAGAAGAUGUUCAUCAAUUGAGGCUGCUAUAUAAUCGACAACUGCAAUGGCAAUAUGCAAAUGCUCGAGCAGAUGCUGCAUUGCGCGUUCAGAAAGUAAAAGCAGAGGUUUGAGUUGUUACCUUUGUGGAACUUCAGCAUGCCUUUUUCAUGUUCUGUACAUAUCUAAUCAUCUCUUUUCCCAUUUAAUUUCCUAUCUUAUGGUUUUUCUUUAACUGUUGUGUAAGCUAAGUUCCUUCUCGGGAAUAAGCCUUUGUUAUUUUUAAUGUAAGAUCUGUAACUAUGGUGGCCUUUCUUGGAUGCACAAAUUGCUUCAGACAUUGCAUUAUUUUGUAUCUGUUUGGGAUUCAUUUUUUUGGCAAAAACUUCAUUUUUAAAGUGAAACAUUGUUUUACAUUUCAUAGGAUCCACAAGUAUUACCAACUUAUUUAUCACUCAUUUUUACCAAUCUAUAAUUCGAGCAACCAAAAAAUAAAAAUAAAAAUAAUAAUAAAAUAAAAAAGAAUCCCAAACAGAGGCUGCUCCUUUUUUUUUUUUUUUUUUUUUUUUUUUUGGUGAAUGCUAGGUAUUAGCUAGUUGUUGAAGAAUAGAUUUUGAUUUAUUGGUAAGAUAAUCGUCUCUGGUCAUGACAACUGAAGGAAAAAAAAUAUGGAAUGAGUUCUCGAGCAGCAUAGAUUAUUAUGCUUCAACUUUUGUGCUCUAUCACAUCCUCAAUCAUGACGCGAAGUUAUAUAUGACCUGGAUUAAUCUCAUUAGUUAUUGUAGUCUUCUUCAAUAUUUUUCUUUUCUUUCUUUUGUGGUAUGUGUUUGUUUUUGAUUGAAUUAAGAUGCAAUUCAUUAGAAGUCUUUGAUGCUGCAGAAAACAUUGUAUAGGGUGUGGAGAACAAUUGUAGAUCUACGUGAUUGGGUGAUUGGGAAACGGAUUGACAUCCAGCAACUAAGGUUCAAGUUGAGGCUCUGCAAAGUUUUGAACAAUCAGGUAAUACUUCUUUUACUACAACUUCCCAUUUCAAUUGAAACAAUGUGGUGUGGUAUUUGUGACUGUUUUUUCAAUGUUUUAAAUUGAUCGAUCAUGUGGGACACUAAAGCUGGGAAAGGAAUCCACGAGAUCGACUAUGGAAUCCUGUUUAGAAGCACUUGGCAUUCCAAAUAGGACAUGGGAGACAAUCUGGCAAGGUAGGAGACAAAGGAGUUCCUCCUCAUCAUAAGCAAAGGAGAUUUGUGAGAUUAGCUUGUCAGUUUGUGUACACGGUAGUGGCUGCUGGUCAUAUAGAUAUUCGAAGCCUUACUUUUAUAGAAGCAGCUGUCCUGACUUUACAUAAGAUGAAGAAUUUCCUUAAGAAGUUUCUCCAUGUGGAUGUAUUUGAUAUGUUUCUGACUAAUAGUUGAUUGCUGUAGUAAAUAGUUGUAACCAUUGCCUGGGCAAACCUAAGUGCUUUUGCAAAAUAUAUGCUAAUGUAGAAGAGGUAAUAGAAGCUGGGAGAGGCUGGUUUCCUGAGUAUUAAUAAUAAAAUAGUAUUUCCAGUGAUUGGCAGAAAGACCUGGAAAACUUUGGGCUGAGUUCUGGUCUAUAGUUUAUAAUUUAAAAAUCCGUGAGUGACUGCUAGAAGGGAAAGUUGGUUAAAUUUUUAAAGUAUAAUUAAAAAAAAAAAAGAAAAAGAAAAAAAAAAGGAAGAUUGCUAAGCUAAUAUCAUUAGAAAAUUUAAAACCUUGUGGUUAAUCAUGGUUGUUUCUGAUAUUCUCCCUUUAAAAUAAGUUAUAUGGGUGCUCACAUCUUUAGGUGUGCUACUUUGGAAAGCAUAAAAUGGACAAGGUGAAAAUAGAAAUUGGUAGAUUCAAUUUUUUUUUUUUUUUUGUUUUUCCCCUUAAAUCGUCUCAGGGCAGUGUGUUUUAGUAAUUCCUUAAAUUACCCUGAGCUAAUUCAAUAACUCUUUCGUGCAAAGAAAGACAAUCUGGGAAGUUAUUGGAUGUUGAAACACAAAGUUAUUGCCCUGAAUUCUUCUUUAUAGUUUGGAAGUGCAACGUCUUCUGGUUUCUUUGAAUUACAGGAAGUCUAAACAUAGAAUAAUUAUCCAAGGAAGCUGUACUUAUUGCAUCUUUCCUUAAAUCACUGGCAGUUAAAUCUGUUCCGGAGACACACUUGUGCGCAGUAUUACACUUUGUCCUGAACAGCAUUUAGUUCUCGUUGUUCCAACUGAUAUUCUGUUUGAUACAAUUUGUCAUGCCCCAGCACAUGGGCCUGUUGUAUGUGAUUGUGACUUUCAAGCGUACCUAGUGAAACCUGCAAUAUGGCCUGUAUGAACUGCCAAAAAAUGUAUGUGCAUGGGCUCUGAGGAAACCCAUAAGUAGCUUGUAUUUCCUAUUGGGGUAUACAAAUUGGGAUGUCAAUCUUUAAACUGCAUGCUAUAUUUUUCCUUCAGUGGAUUUUUCUAAAGCUUUUAACAUAAAUGCAACCUGUUCAGGUGGUAUGUCUUGAUAAGUGGGCUUCAAUUGAAACAGAGCACACCAACUCAUUGUCAUGGGCUAUCCAAGAUGUGCAGGCAGGCGUUCUCUGUAUUCCCAUUACUGGGGGAGCAAGGGUAAGUCAGUGGACAAGUUCUAAGGUUUCAAUUGGCAAAGAGAAGUUAUAAUUCAAGCUACAAUUUCCAGGGAGACAUUGAAGUUGUUAAGGCAGCUGUAUGCUCGGCCCUUGAUGUGAUGCAGGCGAUGGGAUCCUCCUUAUGCUCCAUUCUUUCACAGGUUAAAAUAACUCUGAUUUUAUAAUUGUCAGUCUAGCCUUGGUCAAUAUGAGAUGGAGUAUUGUUGCGUUGUUUAAUAAAUUAAUCAUUGGAUUCUUUUACUUACUGCAUACUUCAGUAGGCUAAUUUACAGAUCCAGUAAAAAAUAGAUCUUUACAACUGAUUGUGGCCCUGAAACUCACACCUCUAUCCAUUUUGCACAUCUAUAAACUGGUCGUUGAUGGAUUUCAUCACGAUUGUUCAGGUACUUCAAGAUAUUGAGCUAAUUCAGUUGUAUAGUACAUCCAAAAAUUUAUAUGGAUGGAUACGAGCUGGAUUUCGGUCAGGAGCUCAUUUCCCUAGAGCUUUUUAAAAAUGUCUUAACUUAAAAAGAAUCAUGGCUUUUUUGGUUAAUACUGUGAUUCAGUGGUUUUUUUAGCCGUUAACAUGGACUUUUAUUUUGGUGAGCUACAAUUAUUCAAAUAAAUGAAUUAUCUUCUCUUUCACUACAAGCAUAAUAGAUGGGUGGCAAAGGCUCCUGAUGCUUUUUCUGUCUGCCAAACUGAACAAACAACAGUCUAAUUUUAAAAACUAUAAUCAGCAAACGGCAUUUGUUCCAUCACCCCAACUUCUUGAAAUUUGAUUUGAUAUCAUAUCAAAUCUAAUGUGGUUUUCUGUUGAUGAUGAUGAUGAUUUAAGAUCUUACCAAAUGUAAUGGAACAUGUCAUUUGUUGAUGGUAUCAGAAGUUUUCAAUGUCGGUUGUGAAUGUCUGGUUAUAGGUAUUACUAUGCCAAUUAUUUGCUCAGGGUUUCACUCUGCGCUGUUUUCUGGAAGAAAGUGGAUAAAAAUGUGUUUAGGGCUUUUUGUUUCUUUAUCUACUUUGUUGGACUAAUAAGCGUAUUUUUGUAAAUAGUCAAUUUCUAAUUCUGGAGAGCAAUCAAUUCCUGUUCCUUAUAGUUCAAUUUAAAUUGCACCUCAAAUUGAUGAGAAAAUGACAAGAAAUAAUAAAAAGAAAGGGUGUUUUUGAACCCAUAUUUUUUGGAGAAUAUGUGGUUAAAAAGUCUAGGGAAAAAUUUUGGCUUUAGGGGAAAAUUUAUUUUAUUGAAAAUAUGUGUGGUUAAGAAUUAGUUUGGGGAAAAUGAGUUUUUCAGAAUGGGGGUCAAACAGGAGCUAAGCAGUAAAUAUGUUUUAAGUUCAAUUGAUGUAGUAACCUCUGAAUCUUCACUAAAUCCACCAUCUUCGGGUUCAGAAUGAAUCUUAAAAGAUUUGACCCAUUCAGUAUAUAGUUUUUAAUAUCAUACAGAUAUCUGAUAGACCUUCAAUACGUUUGAAUUAAUCAAGGAGGGAAAGAAGGCAGCCAAAUCGGCCACUGUUCCAGAAUAUUCUACCAAGUUAGUUAACAAGGGUGAAAGUGAUAAUAGAGAUAAGAGUGUCUAUAAAUAUGAUGGAGGGAAAUGGAGAGGAGGCUUUUGUGCAGUGAUACUCAGUUGGGAUAGGAGAGAUUCCAGGCGUGAUUAAGUUUCAAUAAACUUGUUACAAUUCCAUUAAAUCCAAUUCCUGUACUUCAGUUAUCACUCAUCAUAGUAUUGCAGCACCUUAUUCUUAAUCUUUUCUCCUUGAUUAGCAGCUUACUGGCGCUCAGCUGUAGCAGGGGCAGGGGAUCCUAUCAAUAUCAUGCCCUGAAUUACAGCAGCUGAUCAUUUUUUUUUUUAACAGAAGCAGCUUUUGAGAUGCUAGAUUUAAAACCCAAGUGUCACUAUAACUUUCUUCAUUAGAAGUGUUACAACUAAAAUACGAUUUGAAAGAAACUAGUCUUGAAUAAACAUCGAACAAAAAGUCUUAAUACUUAAAUUAAUACCAUAGCCCAAAAACAAAAAAUUAAAGAAAUAAAACUUAAAUUGUCAUAAAGUUCUUAAAAUGGACUUUUAAAUACUACUGUGUUUCAGUUUUAACACUUCAAUGAAGAAAAUUACAGUGAAACUUGGGGUUUGAGGACCUGGGGUGUCACACACUAGUUUUAAUUUGGCCUAGAAUAUGUAAUAGGAAACACACAUACACACACCCGCACCCGCGCCCCCCGGGGGGGGGGGGGGUUGAAAAAUNNNNNNNNNNNNNNNNNNNNNNNNNNNNNNNNAUUGAACAAUCUAAAAGCGUUUAGUAGAAUGGAAAUACUAAAUUUUUCAAAAGGCCCUCAGAUUCUGAAUGAAAGAAUUAAUCUAAUUUAGUUGGAGAUUAUGUAAUCUUAUGACAAGAUAUAGGCUAUAAUACGUGCUGGCCUUCUAGAUCUAGUCAUUUUAUUUUCAUAGAAUUGCACCAUAUCAACUUAAUCGUCUUUUCCGAAAAUAGAUUUACAAAUAUAAUGUUCAUUGGUGCUCAUCUGCCUCUAAUGUGGACCACACAUUUCCCUUCCCAACUGUCUUCUUGUUGACAUGCUAGAAUGCUCUUGCCUUUUAUGACCCAAGGUUUUGCUGUGUUGUGUAUUAAGAGGUAGCAGUGAGAUCUAACUAAAUAAUUUAAUUAAUACACAUGGAAACAAACACACAAGGUGUGUCCUGUAGUAUCUUAGCGGUGUGUAUUGACUAGUUUUUAAAUAGUGAUAUCUGUGUAAGAAGGCACCGAAAUAUAUUUCCUCCAGAAUAUUAGCUUGCACACAUCGUGAUAAAUAAUUUGGGGCGCAUCAAUUUGGCUGCUUGACUAGUGGAUAGCAAUAUGUCUGACCGCAAUCACAGCACCCAAAUCAGUGAUCAAAUAGCAGACCGCCAGACCCUAGAAUAUUAGUGUUCAAUUUUGUAAUUAUCAAAUAGCCAAUGGACAAACCAGAAGAUUUCAUUAAUAUAAAAUCUUCCAUUUUUGUUGUUGGACAGGCAUGUAAUUUUCGGCAUACUCAUUGACUUGAAUCUUUCUAUAAAGAAGAAUAUAUGCAUGUUGAGUAAUGGUUAUUUCAUCAGAACGAUACUUGUAUUCCGCAUGAAUUAAGGGGUAAAUUUUGUUUCUCAGUCCUGUCAUGGACUUGGAUCAGAACUUCAGUCCUCAAAUCGGGGAGUGACUUGGAAUACUGCAUAAUUAGUAGUAGUUCAUGUUCUACGUCCAAUAGUCAUGCUUAUGCAUGUUUGUUUUUUCCUUCCCAUAAUCUCUUCAGAUCUUGUCUUCUAGUUCUUCCUGAUUUGAUCUUGUACAUCAUGCAGGUGGAGGGGAUGAACGGCCUGGUUUCUCAACUUGCUGAUGUUUCAGAAAAAGAAAGAGCCAUGCUUGAUGAAUGUGAAACACUUAUGGCUUCUAUAGUUGCAACGCAGGUGAGAUUAAAAUUUUGUUAUUUUCUGGUUCGGUUUGGGAAUUCUUGGUUGCUGUGGCAAAUCAAUAUCUUCUUUCACAUCAAGAGUUGAAAUGCUGGCAUGUACAAGUAGAAUUCCAAUAGUCAGAGCUGUCUUGGUGUGUGCUUUAAUAGUCCUACUUUGUCUUUUUUUCUAAAACUUGAAGUGCAUGUUUGGUAUACAAUAUUCUACUGUACUAGACCAUACAAGACGAGAUUUUAACUUCUCAUCUUUGACAAUCCAAAAUUAUCCAAUACCCUGCUGAACAAGCCGGUAGUGGAUAUGUGUGAAUAAAUAUGAAGAGUUUAUCAUAAUAUAUAUGCAGGGCCGGUCCUGUGAUUGUUGGGGCACGAGGCAAAGCCUAAAAAUUGGGCCCCCCUCUCGAAAUCAUCGUAAAUGCACUGGAUAAAGGAUAUAUAUGUAUAUAUAGUUGGGUAAUUGGACUAAGGCUAAGGGCAUUGGAUUGGAUUUGGGUUUGAAGUUGUGGGCUGCAUUUUUGCAUCACUGGGUCUGGUUCAAGUUCAACUAAAAAAAAAAAAAUAAUAAUUUAAAUUUCUAGGCCCAAAGUGAGGCCCCCCAAGAUGUUGGGCCUGACGCAUAGGCCUCAUUUGCCUAGUCCCAGGACCGGGCCUGGUAGUAUAUGUGCUGUCUGUGAACCCAAGAUUGAUAUCUCAAACAUAGUUAUUAUACAAAGGCCUGCUCGACUUCUUUGUGGAGGAUUCUUCUGAGAUAUUUCUUCUUGGUUGGAGAAUUUUUUUCUUUCUUUUUUUUCCAAAACUAAAGUAUCACUUGUGAUUGACUAUCUGGCUUGUCUUUUUAGGCUAUAUUUAUAUUUUACGGCAUGUGUAAUAGCUGCUUAACUAGACUACACUGUGUUGAACAGGCGGAAGAGUACAGCCUUCGGACACAUCUGUUACAGUUAAAACAAGCUUGGGAAGACAGUAAACCGCUGACAUUUGAGUAAAAAAAAAAAAAAAAUCCCGAAAAGUUUUCCAUACGUGACAUUCUAACUUCUUGAGCUCUUUCUCCUCAGGGACGACAAGAAGACUCUCUUGUGGCUUUAGUGAGUGUAUAAUUGAUGUUUCUUUUGGUCACUUCUUAUAGAUAGAAUUUGUAACGUAUUCAUCUUUACUCAGCCCGUCUUGGGCGGUUGCUUUAUGCUUUCUACUUCUACAUAAACUUUGUAUAAUUAAUUAAAAGAAAAAUUUCAAGGAAAGGAAUCAUGCACAUCUAAUGUUUUUGUAUUUAUUUUAGUUUUGAAAUUUAAUUUUCUCCAAACCUAGUAAAAUCUUAGAUCCCUUUGAUUGCAAAAAUAGAAUUUGGGUGGAAAGAAAACGAAUUUCAGGAAAUUAGGGGGUGUUCUCUUUGUGUUUCAGUUUUGUGUUUUGAGUUUUGAAUUCAUUUUGAGUUUUGUGUUUUGAGUGUUUGUUUUGAAAUUGUUGAAAAUGCGUUCUUUUUGUUAGUUUCUCAAAACAAAAAAAAAAUAAAUUUUUUUUUUUGAAAUUUUGAGAAUCACCACACUAUCUCCUCAAAUUUUUUUUUUUAAUUUUUAUUUUUUUUUGAAAUUUUGAGAAUCACCACACCACCUCCUCAAAAAAAAAAAAAAAAAAAAAAAAAAAAAAAAGGUNNNNNNNNNNNNNNNNNNNNNNAAAAGAAAAGUGUUUCCCGCGUUUUCAAUUUUUUCAAGUUUUACACUGAAAACGCCCAAAACGACAAAAAAGUCGUUUUGUGUUUUCUUCACAAAUUUUUUUUCGUUUUCGAAAAUUCGUUUUCGAAAACGGGAAAGAGAACACGUUUUCACCGUUUUGAAAAAUCGAAAACAGAAAACGACCCGAAAACGAUAAAGAGAACAGGGCCUAAAUUGCCUAAAACUUGUUUUAAUGGGAAUUGUCAAUUAAAUGUAUUCGAUUGGUAUAAUUUUUUACCUGAAAAAUGUUGAAAUUUUGGAUCUUUUGUAUUCGUUUGAUUUUGUAUUCCAUGAAAAUUAACAAUUAAAGGGAUGGAAUUUUUUGAAAUUGUGGAUAGAAUUUAUUUUCAUUGUUGAAAAAAUAAAAAAGAAGCUGGAAAAACAUUUUCCCUCCAACACCCAAAGAAAACUAAUUCCAUAAAACCAUGGAAAAGGAGGUCACGUGAAGGGAUUGAAGGAAAACAAAUUUCAUGGAAAAAUUUGCUAUCAAAUAUGUCAUUUUGGUGGAAAAUGGAAUUUUUUCAUAGAAAACUCAACCUAUCAAAUAGGUCCUAAGAGUAAAUGAAUAAGCAAUUUGAAAAAUCCUUGGCGCACAAGGAUGUAUUUCAAUAAUGCUUAAAUGCGUUGUAUUUCUUUUUAUUUCAUCGUAAUUUAACAUUAGUCUCUAAGUUUUGUGUAAAAUUUAUUUGUCCAAGACUCAAUUAAUAAUCUAGAAUUUAAUUUUUGACAAAUUAAUAUUAAAAUUUACUAUAAAAAUGAUAAAACUUCAAUAAUUAAGCCCCUGUUUAACUAUCUUUAUUUGAAAUUUUUUUUCCUUACAUAUUCAUUUUGAAUCAUUAUUUGAAAACAUUUUUUUACGUAGUCAAUUUUAACAGCAUUCACAAAAUAAAAUAUUUUAUACGUAAAUUUAAAAUUUUAUACUACUUUUUAAUCACACAUUAUUCUAAAAAUCAAUAUUCAAAAUAUUAUUUUUUCCUAAUAAUUAUAGUAAAAUACAUGAUAAAACUCCCGCCGAAUUCUUUUCAUUUGCUGUGCUGUCCCUACAAGGUUCCUACAUAAAACGGUCAGGUUUUCAGUUUUGGUAUUAGUUUUCAGUUUCCCAAUGAUUUGCAGAGCCACUGUAUCAAGGGACGGAAAUUUCUUCCUCAGCCUAAUAAACAGGGCCAAAACACACUCGCAUCUCAACCAAACCCACGCCCAAAUUAUCCACAACAAUAUUUUGAACGACAACAUUACAAUAACAAAACUGGUACAGAAACUCCUGGACCUCAAAGCUACAGCCCAAGCUAAGCUCCUCUUUACGCACACGAAAUCACCUGACCUCUUCCUCUACAAUGUCCUUAUUAAAGGCCUUAAAGCAUACCCCUUUGAUUCUCUCCUUGUGUACAAAAAUCUACGCCAACAAACCACCUUAGUUCCUGAUAAUUUUACCUACUCUUUUAUUAUUUUUGCAUUUUCAGGGGCUUCGUUAUCUGGGUCUGAGAAAUUUGGCGUUUUGCUUCAUGGGCAGGCAAUAAUAUCUGGCUUUGGCACGGAUUUGUUUGUGGGCUCGGCUUUGGUUGAUAUGUAUUAAUGUAUAUGAAUUUGUCACGGAUUGGAUAUGCAUAUAAGGCGUUUGGUGGAGUAUCCGAUCCAGAUACGGUUCUUUGGAACACUGUGAUAUCUGGGUUGGUGAAAAAUUGUUGCUAUGAUGAGGCUAUCCAGGUUUUCAAUGGCAUGGUUAAGAGGACAAUGCGGAUUGACUCAACUACAUUAGCCGUGGUUCUUUCAGGUAUAGCUGAGUUGCAGGAGAUGAGUUUUGGGAUGAUGCUUCAGUCUUUGGCUUAUAGGUUGGUUGCCAUUUUCACGAGCAUGUGCUUACUGGUUUGAUUUCUUUAUAUUCGAAAUGUGGGGACAUUUUUGACUGCUCGGGUAUUGUUUGAGUUAAUUGGGAAGCCGGAUUUGAUUGCAUACAAUGCAAUGAUUUCUGGUUAUUCUUUUAAUAACAAAACCGAGUCAUCAGUUCAGCUAUUCAAAGAAUUGCUUUUUUCAGUGGAAAAAGUUAAUUCAAGUACUAUGGUCGGUUUAAUCCCAGUGUUCCAUCCGUUUGGUCAUUUGGAACUUACGAGUUUAAUUCAUGGGUUUUGUGUAAAGUACGGCGUUAUUUUUAUUUCUUCUGUUUCUACUGCAUUGACUACAGUUUAUUGUCGGCUGAAUGAGAUAGAAUCUGCCAGGAAGCUUUUUGAUGAGUCAGCAGCUAAAAGUUUGGCAUCUUGGAACUCCACGAUAUCAGGCUAUGCCCAAAAUGGCUUUCUCACUUUUUCGUGAAAUGCAGAAUCUUGAUAUUAAUCCAAAUCCUGUCACAUCCUGUCACAAUUACCAGUAUACUAUCUGCAUGUUCUCAACUUGGUGCUUUAAGUUUGGGAAAAUGGGUCCAUGACUUGAUUAAGAGGGAGAGUAUUGAGUCUAACAUCUAUGUGGCCACAGCUUUGAUCGACAUGUAUGCGAAGUGUGGGAGCAUUAAGGAAGCGAGGAGAUUAUUUGACAUGACGAGGGAUAAAAAUGUGGUGACUUGGAAUGCUAUGAUUUCUGGGUAUGGCCUCCAUGGACAUGGACAUGGACAUGAAGCACUACUGCUUUUUGAUGAGAUGUUAUGUUCUGCAGUUCCCCCAACAGGGGUUACUUUCCUUUCCAUUUUGUAUGCUUGCAGUCAUGCUGGCUUGGUAACAGAAGGAGAGAAAAUUUUCCAUUCAAUGGUCCAUGAACACUGCUUCAAGCCCAGUCCCGAGCACUAUGCAUGCAUGGUGGACAUCCUUGGCCGAGCUGGAAAAUUGCAAGAUGCCCUGGAAUUUAUAAAUGGUAUGCUAAUUGAGCCAGGUCCUGCAGAAUGGGGUGCACUGCUGGGCGCUUGCGUGAUUCACAAGGAUACUAACUUAGCUCAUUUGGCAUUUGAUAAGUUGUUUGAACUGGAUCCUGAAAAUGUAGGAUACAAUGUUCUACUGUCAAACAUAUACUCAACCGAGCAUAAUUACUCUUGGGCUGCUUUAGUACGUGAAGUUGUUAAGAAAAGAAAUCUGGUGAAGACCCCUGGUUGCACUUUGAUUGAGGUCAAGGGACACCCUCAUGUCUUUAUGUCUAGUGACUGGUCCCACCCAGAAUCAAAAUCAAUUUAUGCAAUGCUUGAAAAGUUAAUAGAUAAAAUGAGGGAUGUUGGAUACCAGAUGGAGACCAUCACAGCAUUGCAUGAUGUAGAGGAAGAAGAGAAGGAGCUAAUGGUGAAAGUUCAUAGCGAGAAGUUGGCCAUUGUUUUUGGUCUUAUAACAUCUGAACCGGGAGAAGAGAUUAGAAUAAUUAAAAACCUUAGGGUUUGCCUUGACUGCCAUAAUUUUACCAAAUUUGUAUCUAAAAUCACUGAGAGAAUAAUCGUCGUGAGGGAUGCUAAUAGGUUUCAUCAUUUUGAAGACGGCACUUGUUCUUGUGGAGACUACUGGUAGUACUUGUGUACUGAUGAAGAUUAUCACACAGGGAAAGGGAGAUUCUCUUUAAUUAUUGUUUUCCUGGCAUAACAAGCUAUCAUCAAUCAAGAAACUCCAUUCUAAAUUCUUUUCAUAUAGACAUUAUUCAUAUUUUCUAGCCACAAACAUAUCAUAGGAACUCAUAAGGGAUUUGACUUUUCUAUUAAUUCAUACGGAUUAAAUAAAAAAAAAUUCUUGAAGGGAUGAAUAACAAACAAUAUCUGUACUUGUUCUACCUCGUAUUUUGUUAUGAAAAGAAUGAACCUUUUUGCCUACCCUGGAUGUUAGAAUGCUAACCAACCAGCUAUUUUCAGAACAGGUUUUUCCAGUGCUCACAUAUACUUUUGAUGACAGCACGUCUUCUCAUUGAAGAUGCAGUUGAUUGAGGAGCUGCUUUGAGAGAGAGAUGGUAUCUUUUGAUAACUUUUUACCUUUUAUUUUGCUAAGAUUUGAUCAGCUUUGUGUAAGAAUUAAUAAAUUUUUGCUCAUUAUUGAUUUCAUAAUGGAAUAAAAGAAAAGAGAAGAAAUUGAUUCAGACAAUGAUAUAAGAAAACCUCUGACCAAGUUACAUUAUUUGGUCAGUCUCAGAACAUAUUAGAGCCUAAUAGAUUCUCUUAUUGCUGUUGUUUCGUCAUGUACAUCUUUUCUUUUCUUUUUCCUACACUGAAAAAUUCCCGUGAUGCUCAACAUUUUUUUUUUCUUUUUGGUUUUAGACUAACAAAAAUAGUGUUUAUUCUGCUCUAUGAGCUGCACUGUCAAUAGUUUAUUUGGAAAAAUAAAAUAAAAAUCAAGAUAUUUGUUUGCAUAAUAUGAGGCAUUGGCUUGAUCAUCAUGGUGCAAACCAACAAUUUAGCAAAAAGCGUUAAUUGUAUUAUUUUCUGUUACAUUCAUAUACAAAAUUGAAUACCAUUCUUAUGCUAAACAAAACUUUGGCUGCUUGAUUUAUUCAUUCAACUGCAACCUCCACUUUGUUGGACAAACGUCAGAUCCUCAUAACCAGAAAGUACAUUGUAUAUAAGUAGUGUGUGGCUUCCCAGAGGAAGUAUGAGAAAUGUAUCAGCAAUUGACCCCAGAUUGCUGAUAUUAAGAAAGGAAGGAAGGCAGCAAAUCACAUAGAAGAUGUUCAUCAAUUGAGGCUGCUAUAUGCAAAUGCUCGAGUAGAUGCUGCAUUGUGUGUUCAGAAAGUAAAAGCAGAGGUUUGAGUUGUUAUCUUUGUGGUACUUCAGCAUGCCUUUUUCAUGUUCCGUACAUAUCUAAUCAUCUCUUUUCUCUUUUAAUUUCCUAUCUUAUGGUUUUUCUUUAAUUGUUGUGUAAGCAAAGUUCCUUCUUGGAGUAAGCCUUAGUUUGUUAUUUUUAAUGUAAGAUCUGUAACUGUGGUGGCCUUUUUUGGAUGCACAAAUUGCUUCAGACAUUGCAUUAUUUUGUAUCUGUUUGGGAUUAAUUUUUUUGGCUAAAAAGUUCAUUUUUAAAGUGAAACAUUGUUUUAAUCAUACGUUUCAUAAAAUCCACAAGUACUUUCAACGUAUCUAUCACUCAUUCUACCAAUCUAUAGUUUUAGCAACCAAAAAAAAAAAAAAAAGAAUCCCAAACAGAAGUUGCUUUCUUUUAGGAUUCUGUUUUUUUCAUUGACGUAUCUGGUGAAUGCUAGGUAUUAGCUAGUUGUUGAAGAAUAGAUUUUGAUUUAUUGGUAAGAUAAUCGUGACUGCUCAUGACAACUGAAGAAAAAAAUAUGGAAUGAGUUCUCGAGCAGCAGGGAUUAUUAUGCUUCAACUUUUGUGCACUAUCCCAUCCUCAAUCAUGACACGAAGUUAUAUAUGACCUGGAUUAAUCUCACUAGUUAUUGUAGUCUUCUUCAUUUUUUCCCCUUUUGUGGUAUGUGUUUGUUUUUCAUUGAAUUAAGAUGCAAUUCAUUAGAAGUCUUUGAUGCUGCAGAAAACAUUGUACAGGGUGUGGAGAACAAUUGUAGAUCUACGGGAUUGGGUGAUCAGUAAAAGGAUUGACAUCCAGCAACCGAGGCUCAAGUUGAAGCUCUGCACAGUUUUGAACAAUCAAGUAAUACUUCUUUUACUACAACUUCCCAUUUCAAUUGAAACAAUGUGGUGUGGUAUUUGUGACCGUUUAUUCAAUGUUUUAAAUUGAUUGAUCAUGUGGGACACUAAAAGAUGGGAAAGGAAUCCAUGAGAUCGGAUAUGGAAUCCCGUUUAGAAGCACUUGGCAUUCCAAAUAGGACAUGGGAGACAAUCUGGGAAGGUAGGAGAAAAUGGAGUUCCUCCUCAUAAAAGGAGAUUUGUGAGAUUAGCUUGUUAGUUUGUGUCGAUAUUCGAAGCCUUACUUUUAUAGAAGCAGCUGUCCUGAUUUUACAUAAGACGAAGAUAAACAUUUCCUUUUUCUUCAUGUGGGAUGUGCUCGAUAUGUUUCUGAAUUCUGACUAAUAGUUGAUUGCUAUCGUAAAUAGUUGUGACCAUUGCCUGGGCAAACCUAAGUGCUUUUGCAAAAUAUAUGCUAAUGUAGAAGAGGUAAUAGAAGCUGGGAGAGUCUGGUUUCCUGAGUAUUAAUAAUAAAAUAGUAUUUCCAGAUAUUGACAGAAAGACCUGGAAAACUUUAGGCUGAGUUGUGGUCUAUAUUUAAAAAUCCGUGAGUGACUGCUAGAAGGGAAAGUUGGUCGAAUUUUUAUAGUAUCAUAAAAUAAAAAAAUAAAAUAAAAAUGAUUGCUAUGCUAAUAUCAUUAGAAAAUUUAAAAAAUGAAUUCUCAAACUUUUGCAAAAUUGCUUCUCAAAUUAUGCAUAUUUGCAGCUCUUUUGAACAUCAUUCAAGAAACUAUCAGCUCUGUCAGAAUUCUUGCUAUCUCAGCAGGCAAUGGAGAGCACUCAAACCCUGUGGUUAAUCAUGGAUAUUUCUAAUAUUCUCACUUUAAAAUAAGUUAUAUGAGUGCUCACAUCUUUAGGCGUGCUACUUUGGAAAGCAUAAAAUCUUCGAGUUCAAAAUAGAAAUCGGUAGAUUCACUCUUUUUUGUUAUUUCAAAUCGUCUCAGGGCAAUGUGUUUUAGUAAUUCCUUAAAUUACCCUGACCUAAUUCAAUAACUGUUUUGUGCAAAGAAAGACCAUUAGGGAAGUUAUCGGAAUGUGAAACUCUGAAUUCUUCUUUCUAGUUUGAUAGUGCAAUGUCUCCUAGUCUCUUUGAAUGACAGGAAGUCUAAACAUAGAAAAAAUUAUCCAAGGAAGUUGUACUUAUUGCACCUUUCCUUAAACCAUCGGCAGUUAAUUCUGUUCCAAAGACACACUUGUGCGCAGCAUUACACUUUGUCCUGAAUAGCAUUUAGUUCUCGUUGUUCCUACUGACUUUCUGUUUGAUACAAUUUGUCAUGCCCCAGCACCUGGGCCUGUUGGAUGUGAUUGUAACUUUCAAGCUUACCUAAUGAAACCUGCAAUAUGGCCUGUAUGAACUGCCAAAAAAUGUAUGUGCUUGGGCUCUGAGGAAACCCAUGAGUUGCCCCGUAUUUCCUAAUGGAGGAUACAAAUUGGGAUGUCACUCUUUAAACUCUAUGCUAUAUUUUUGCUUCGGUGGUUUCUUCUAAAGCUUUUAACAUAAAUGCAACCGGUUCAGGUGAUAUGUCUUCAUAAGUGAGGCUUCAAUUGAAACAGAAAACACCAACUCAUUGUCAUGGGCUAUCCAAGAUGUGCAGGCAAGCACUCUCUGUAUUCCCAUUACUGGGGGAGCAAGGGUAAGUCAGUGGACAAGUUCUAAGGUUUCAAUUGGCAGAGAGAGAUCAUUGAUUCAAUCUACAAUUUCCAGGGAGACAUUGAAGUUGUUAAGGCAGCUGCUUGCUCUGCCCUUGAUGUGAUGCAGGCAAUGGAUCCUCCUUAUGCUUCAUACUUUCACAGGUUAAAAUAAUUCUGAUUUUAUAUUUGAUCAGUUCAGAAAGUGAUCUGAAGAGGAGAGGGGGCACAAAUACUACUACUUGAAGUUUGAUCUAAUUUAGUAGUUUCCCUUUUUUCUUUGAAUCGUUAAUUUUUGUUUCUCUCAAUUCUUUUGGAUAAUUUUAAUCCUUUUUCGUUUUUGGGUAUUUUGUUAUGUUUAUUUAUGCUUCAUAUUCUUGAUGUUUGAAUGAUUCUUGUUGCUCUGUAUUGUCAUUUGAGAGCUGUUCUUAUGCACCAUAAUCUUGAAUUCUUUCGGUUGAGCCUUUUUUCUUUAUGGGUUUUUAUCAAAUAUCGAAAUUAUACUGAUCCUGGCCUUAUUUGAUCUAUUCUAUAAGCAAAUUGUGAUGGUAUUUGUAGUUAUGAAGCCCAAAGAUGAUUACUGACUCCGAAUUUAUUUUGUGCUGGGUGAUCCAAUUCUUGACAAGUCCUCAAGUCAAUAUGAGUCAAUGGUUGUGUGAUAAAAAUAGUAUUAACCAUUCAGAAUGAUAGAAAAUGCACCCUCUUGGGUUUUUUUAAUAUCACUUUGCCCAAUUUCAUUCUUACUUAAAUUUAUACAUACAUUAGCAUAGAUUGCUCAGUUCAAUUUCAUUCAUUCAUUCAUUCAAACAUGCAUACAUGCCUAUAUAUGUAUAUAGAUCCAUAGCCAUGUGUGCAUGCCUACUAGCUAGUACAUUUAUGUUUGUCUGUGUGUAAAAAUGUAAAAUUCUGUGCAUAGAGUCGCUACUUAUUAUGUGUUCGUAGAUCUUUCAUAUUCGUCAUAUGAGACACUGGCUCAAGGUUUGUAUUUGCUUAAUUUUUAAGUCCAAGGCUACCAACAGUACAUGCAGUGUGCACAAAUUUUUAUAAUAAAACCACUUUGAAAAAUCGACUCUUCAGUCUACUGCACCAACUUCUGAUAGUAAUUUUUGGUUUCUUUCUUCACUAUUUUAUAAAAUGCUCAGCAUGUAUUAUAAGACAACCUAAAUUUAAGGCAACUAAUUUUCUUUAAACUUAAAUAUUAAAUAGUUAUAUAAAACGUCCUGAAUAUCUCAUCUAUACAUUUGCUUAUCUAAUAUCUGGAACUUAAAGUUGUCUACUUUUAUGUUUUUUAUUGGUCCAGAUAAGACAUUACAGUUUUCUUGCUCUUCAUUGAUUUUGAUUCUUCAUGUGUCCUCCAAUGCCUUCCCUGUUUUUUGAAAUUGGUUUAAGUGAUGAACAAGUCAUUUUUUCUCUUCAUGAGUACAUAUGUGGAUCCCCUCUUCCAAGUAACAUGAUAGCAGCUCAUACUCGACACUAGCUAUUGGGAAAGUUAUAAUAAUUUAAAAAUAACAAAAUAAUUAGGAGAGGCAAACAUGUUUUGGAUUGAAAGGCUAGUAACUUGCUUAGAGAUGCAAAUCAUCUACUGAUAUGUAAGGAGAAAAUCAAUAAAAUAGUCCUUCGGUUAUAGCUCUGUUGACAUUUUAGUUUUCAGCAUUUAAAAGGAGUAAAUUUAUUUUCAAAUCAUUUUGUCACUUGAUAAAUACAUAUGUUGGUCGCCUCUUCCAAAUAAUGUGAUUGCAGAUUUAGCCUAUACCAGUACAAUCCCUCAAAUUUACCGGGUUAUUUUGAAGUUCUAAUCUUUUGCAGUUAUGUAAUACAUUUUUGUUGUCUCUCCGAUUGAACUUUUGUUUGGACUGGAUAAAAUUCUCAGUUAUCUUUCUCACAUGACCGUCAGGUUGUGAGUCUGCAAUUGUUUACGAGAUUUGGAAUUUACUCACAAAUUUGUUGUCACAAACUAGUUUUGGUAGGUUAGAUUACCGAGAGAGAGAAAAAAAAAAAAAAAGGGUUCCACGGGGAGUUAAAUGUCUAUUCCACUUGCAAGAUAAUAAAAAUACAAACAUAGGUUAGGAACUUUGCAACCCUCUCACAUUUCCAGGAGUAUGAGAAACUAAAUUUUUGACAAAAAUUUUUAUGAUAAAAAUCAAUGAGAAAUUCAUUUUAGUCGAGUACUUCUCUAGAAGUAGUUGAAAGUGAAAUUAACAUUUAUUAAACUUAAUAUAUCUGUAAAUUUCAUUGAUUCAAUCAGAAGAAUGCUUGAUUCAUCUUGAUAAUUAUAGAUCUUAUUAAAAUUGUCUUAUCUGUUAACUCAGAAAUGGAUUUCUAUGUGAACAUAUUAAUAAAGGUAAAAGUGUUAAUUUUCUUCUGAUGAAUCAGAUAAUUUUCUUAUGUUCUAUUUUCACAUGAACUUUGAGGCCACCUGGUUAUUGACUUGGUACUCAUAUGAACACGGAUCAUUUAAUGGGCUUCUUGCAAUUUAACCAUGAUAACUACAUAAUUACUUCAAAAAUCUGGGUAUAUGCAGAUGGAAUUUGGUACUUCAUUCAUUCAAAUGAUAGAAAAGAGACAGCCUUUGGAUUUUGGAAAACCAAAGGAGAAACUAAUGAGAUAUAUUUGAAUUCUGAAUUAAGUGGUUGGAGAACUACUCUUGAAUUUUUUGAAGGUGAAGCCCCUAAUGGACGAAGAACUGGUUGGCUUAUGCAAGAGUACAGUAUAACACAAAAGGGAUUAUGUCAUAAAACCGAGCCAAAGGUAUUAGCUGCAACUAGCUGGCAUUAGUCUAUUCCUUAACAUCUUCUAUACAUCAUCUCCAACGUUACCAUUCAGAAGCCGCUUUGGUUGGAUAAUGUGCAGGACUCUAAAUCAAUUUGCAGAAUUUUCCUUUCCAGUGCGCAUAGCCCCAAAAAUCAGAUUCAGCCCAAUUACAACAAGACUGAUUUUAGUGCAAAAUGCAAUAGUUCAGUGGCAUCAGUUAACCCGAGCAAUAAUAAACCUCAGCACAAGAUUCCUUAAGCAAAUCUGAGGUUGGUUUGCUAUGCAUCCUUGUUUUUGUUGUAUGCAUUAUUUUUUCCCAUGUCUUCACAUCUCUUAUUUUUCGUCUUUAGUAUAUAUAAUCCAUCUCUGGCUGUUCUCUUCUUCCUAUUGCUGCUUGGAUGGGACAUUAUAUGCAGUGCUAUGUUCUUAUUUCAGUGAGAGUGAUUCUGGUGUUUGAUAUUCGUUCCUUUCUUUUUUUACUGCAUAUCUAAUUAACUGCUUGAGUGGCUUUUAACACUUUUUUUCCCAGUUGAACAUUAAAAGGUUAACUAGAUAAAGCCUGUCUAUUUUAAUUUUCAAAAUAGAGUGCUCUUUAAUGACAUAUAUACCAAGAUUUUCUCAUCUGUUGCCAGCAGCAGUCACAUCUGCAGAAAUGGAUUGCAGGAAAAGAAACUGCAAUUGCAUAUAUUGGUUACACUUUGAGAUGAUGAGGAUAAACAAUAUAUUUUAUAAAUGUUUUGCAUUUUGUGGGAAGAUUUAGCAUCAAUUUUGUUUGUAUUUGGCCUUUAAUGCUUCGGUAAGCUACAGAACAUUAAGGAUCAGUGUGAUUUUUCCCCUUUACGUGUUCUUGUUUGUCGGCUCUUGAUUCAUGGGGCAAGGGCUUUCUCAGUGUACUAGUUUUUACGUGUCCUCUGUUUUCUAAGAUCUGCAUACGAUUUCAUAGGUAAAGGGGUCCAGAACACUUCUCCAGAUGAUUUUGCGGAGGUCGAAUGUUUCUCGAGAGGUGACUUCUUGGAAUUGGAUGAUCUUGCAGAACCCGAGACACUUUCUUCUAGUUCAGAGAAUUCAAGUGGUCCAAGCCGGGCAUUCCGAUGAAUAUUUUGAUUCGUUGGCAUUGUUGCGAGACCUGAAUGAUCAGGAUAACAAACAACUUCAAGGGAAGGAUUUAAGCAAGUAUAGUUUUUCUGCAUCUGUUAG
rnacentral:lncRNA from 1 species